rnacentral:rRNA from 1 species
AGUGAACGCUGGCGGCAGGCCCAACACAUGCAAGUCGAGCGGAUGAAGAGAGCUUGCUCUCUGAUUCAGCGGCGGACGGGUGAGUAAUGCCUAGGAAUCUGCCUGGUAGUGGGGGACAACGUUUCGAAAGGAACGCUAAUACCGCAUACGUCCUACGAGAGAAAGUGGGGGAUCUUCGGACCUCACGCUAUCAGAUGAGCCUAGGUCGGAUUAGCUAGUUGGUGAGGUAAAGGCUCACCAAGGCGACGAUCCGUAACUGGUCUGAGAGGAUGAUCAGUCACACUGGAACUGAGACACGGUCCAGACUCCUACGGGAGGCAGCAGUGGGGAAUAUUGGACAAUGGGCGCAAGCCUGAUCCAGCCAUGCCGCGUGUGUGAAGAAGGUCUUCGGAUUGUAAAGCACUUUAAGUUGGGAGGAAGGUCAGUAGCUUAAUACGUUGCUGAUUUGACGUUACCGACAGAAUAAGCACCGGCUAACUCUGUGCCAGCCGCCGCGGUAAUAC